GAGCCAUGGGAAGUGGCAGAGCACCUGCUUUUCAUGCAGGAGGUCCCAGGUUCAAUCCCUGGCAUCUCCA